GACGAACGCUGGCGGCGUGCUUAACACAUGCAAGUCGAACGGUAAGGCCCUUCGGGGUACACGAGUGGCGAACGGGUGAGUAACACGUGGGUGAUCUGCCCUGCACUUCGGGAUAAGCCUGGGAAACUGGGUCUAAUACCGGAUAGGACCACUGCCUGCAUGGGUGGUGGUGGAAAGCUUUUGCGGUGUGGGAUGGGCCCGCGGCCUAUCAGCUUGUUGGUGGGGUGAUGGCCUACCAAGGCGACGACGGGUAGCCGGCCUGAGAGGGUGACCGGCCACACUGGGACUGAGAUACGGCCCAGACUCCUACGGGAGGCAGCAGUGGGGAAUAUUGCACAAUGGGCGCAAGCCUGAUGCAGCGACGCCGCGUGAGGGAUGACGGCCUUCGUGUUGUAAACCUCUUUCAGCACCGACGAAGCGCAAGUGACGGUAGGUGCGGAAGAAGGACCGGCCAACUACGUGCCAGCAGCCGCCGUAA
rnacentral:rRNA from 1 species